UACGUAGGGGGCAAGCGUUAUCCGGAAUUACUGGGUGUAAAGGGUGAGUAGGCGGCAUGGUAAGCCAGAUGUGAAAGCCUUGGGCUUAACCCGAGGAUUGCAUUUGGAACUAUCAAGCUAGAGUACAGGAGAGGAAAGCGGAAUUCCUAGUGUAGCGGUGAAAUGCGUAGAUAUUAGGAAGAACACCAGUGGCGAAGGCGGCUUUCUGGUCUGAAACUGACGCUGAGGCACGAAAGCGUGGGGAGCGAACAGG
rnacentral:rRNA from 1 species